GUGUUUUUAGUUUAUUUGGUAAAAUAUCGGACUGUGAAUCCGAAGAACAGGGUUCGAUUCCCGAAAAUACCCA
rnacentral:tRNA from 1 species